rnacentral:rRNA from 1 species
GAUGAACGCUAGCGGCAGGCCUAAUACAUGCAAGACGAACGGUAAGUUGAGUAGCAAUACUUAGCCAAGAGUGUCGUACGGGUGCGUAACACGUAUGCAACCUACCCUAUACAGGAGGAUAGCCUAGGGAAACCUGGAUUAACCCUUCAUAGUAUUAUUGGAUGGCAUCAUUUGAUAAUUAAAACUGAGGUGGUAUAGGAUGGGCAUGCGUCUGAUUAGUUAGUUGGCGGGGUAAUGGCCCACCAAGACGAUGAUCAGUAGGGGUUCUGAGAGGAAGAUCCCCCCACACUGGCACUGAGAUACGGGCCAGACUCCUACGGGAGUAGCAGUAGGGAAUAUUGGUCAAUGGAUGCAAGUCUGAACCAGCCAUGCCGCGUGCAGGAAGAAGGCCUUCUGGGUUGUAAACUGCUUUUGCCAGGGGAUAAAAUUUCCAUGCGUGGAAAACUGAAGGUACCGGGAGAAUAAGCUCCGGCUAACUCCGUGCCAGCAGCCGC